rnacentral:lncRNA from 1 species
AUGAUCUCAUGGUCAUGGGAACAUAUAUUUGACAUGCAGAAAAAUAGUACUUCCCACUAUGACCAGCCCCAGCAGCGCUAGAAAAAAUAAAAAAAAAAACAGAAAAAGCAAAGUCGUCUUGGUUUCGCUGCUUUGGCUGAAGCUCAUAAAACCUACAUGAUCCCCCAAGAGAAAUCACGUGACCCCAAUAGUGUAGGGUACGUGCUAGCUCACAAAAAAUGAUGUAGGAUUUUAUGGAUGUACUAGUCAAAGCGGCAUGCAGCAGCGGUCAAAGCGGUGCGGCAGUAGUCAAAGCGGGGCAGCGUGGAGUGACAUGCAACAGAAUGUUAGCUGUGCGUCUUGAUUGUCAAUGAACGCAAAGCGGUGAGAUAGAGGGCAGCAACGAAAGGGAAAGAUACAUCCAGAUAUAAGCCUCAUUUUCUCACCAGCGCUAAAAGAAAAGUAAAAAAAGAAAAAGAAAAAGCAAAGCCUUGGGGCUUGGUAUUCUUUAGUAUGUUCAUUCCCGGCGAUGACUUCGAAUGCUGCUUGUUUUGUACUCCUGUAUGAAGUUUCUUGUGACGACUAAUCAAGGAUCCAAAGCUUCGCGCGGCCUGAUUACUGAUUACACACACAUUCUUCACGCUCAGGCCAUCCCAAGUAUGGAGCGGUUCCGUGGGCUGGGGGCGUGCGCUGCGAAGUCCGUAGAGCGGUUCCUUGGGCUGGGCACGACGCCUCCAUGGCUCGCGAGGUUCCGGGGGCUGGGCGCCACCGGCGCGUNNNNN